rnacentral:misc_RNA from 1 species
UUUUAGGGAGACCUACCCAUUUUAGAUUUUGGAUUUUAGAUUUUGGAUUGAAAGAUCGAGAAUUUAAAAUUUGAGAAUGAAGUCUAGAAUAGUGUCAUUCCUAGGUCGGUUGUAAAUGCAAUUGUGGCUAUCAAACUGUAUAUUAGGUUCGAUUAUGGGCUAUUAGCUCAGGUGGUUAGAGCGCACCCCUGAUAAGGGUGAGGUCCCUGGUUCGAGUCCAGGAUGGCCCACCUGAAACAAGUAAAAAGAACAAAGUAAAAAGUUAAAAGAAGAUUAAAGAGUAUUUCUUUUGCCUUUUAUCUUUUGACUUUUAACUUGAUAGAUGGGGGUUUAGCUCAGUUGGUAGAGCGCCUGCUUUGCAAGCAGGAUGUCAGCGGUUCGAGUCCGCUAACCUCCACAUUUAUGAAGCAUUUAUUUAAAAUAUUCAAAAUAAAUGUUUAGUAUAAAAGAAUUGGAAAAUUCAGCAACUUCCGUUAUUAAGAUAACGCAGCCUGCUGGAUGUAUAUCCAGUAAGAACCUUGAAAACUGCAUAGUGACGCAAAUUGUAGGCAGUAACCGUCGUAAUAAUUACUUGAGUAAUUAAAGCAACGGGUAUUGAAUUACACACAAUCCUUUGAAUUGAUUAAAUU